CAGGGUUGGCGGACUUGAGAAGGAGUGAAGAUGGCGGAGUGAGGCUCGUUGAGGCUAUCUGGCCUUUGGGCCAGGGGGCGGGCCGGCCCUGGGGCGCUGGAGUGCUUCUGCUGGCCCGUGCGAGGUUCGUGCCCACUGUUUUGCCUGAGUCUCGGGUCUCAAUCGAGGCCGGUCCGAGUUCUGAGUGUCUUGUGUCCCCGUCCCGUUGACCUUGAGAUUUGAUAUAACAGGAAGAACAGUUUCCUUGCCAUUUAGGUGCUUUUAUAUUCAUCUCAAAAAGAAAACAAAAUGCUGAACUCGGAAUUUGGCAAGUAUUUCUACAUUGUCUCCUGGAGUGGGGUAGUCCUACUUCUUUUAUCUGGUCACCUUCCCUAUUGAAAUGUGGAUAUCUCUUCUCUACACUUUACCUCCAUGAUUUGGAUUGGAAAAGGCUGCUUUUCUUUUUGUUCUACCACUCCGAUUCAACACAGAGAAGCUCCUGGGGUGCAGUCAUCCUGCCAGGUUCUCUUGGAAGAAAGAAGCAGCUGACAUGUAUCUUCAGCUGCUAUUUGCUUAAUCACAAAGAAAUUAUUUCAAAAGCUGAAGGCUGAUGUCUGGUUUGAAACAGAUGCUUUGAUGGUGAUGUUUGUGAAUUCUUUACCUUUUGUUCCAAACGAGAAGACUGAAUAUAAAUAGUAGGACAUCAGGGUUUUGGGAUUUUUUUAACGUCUUCCAGUUUUAACCACUAUCAUGAUAAGCACAGUUGAGACUUGGCAACAGUAAAUUCCAGAUAUAUGUUCUAAUUUGAAGUGAAAGAGAUGCUUAAAGAGAUGGCUUACAUAUGUAUCUAAAUCCUGGCUUAUCCUUUGACAUGGAUUUACUAGGUAAGAACAAAGGUACCAUUUUGCAAUAAAACCCUUGAUGUGAUAAAAAAGUAAAAAGACAAGAUAUCACAAGGUUACUUUCAUAUGUGAAUAAACCAUCACAAACCUAUAAAUAGCUAUUUUUACAUAUGUAAGUCCACAGUUUGGGAUGAUAAGAGGAAUUUUUCUCCUGGAGAAGGAAGCUGUGGUUGACUUCAUUCUCAGAAAUCUUUGGAUAUUUGGUAUUUUUUAAUGUUUUUUCAUUCAUCUAAGGAAUGACCACAUUGUGCAGAUACUAACCUUAUGAAUGCAUGCUUGGGUUAGUGAAAGAUUGGUAAAAGGAAACAACAGUUUUGACUCCAGUGAUGGAACCCAGUUCACCUCUGUAGCAUGAGACCCCUACUGUAUUACAAAGUGUUUCAUUCUUUUUUGUGGAGUCUUAUAUAGCGCUUGAGACUCGGUUUUACAUGCUGCUAAGGCUGAAAGAAAAGUGGCAUAAGUGGAUUUUUUGUUCAGAGGAUGUGAUGGACCCUACAGUAUGGCCUGCCUCAGCUAUGGACAUAGAGGAGUGGAGGAAAAAAGGAGGACAGUUUCCGUAUUACUCCUUUUUCCUAGGAAAAAGAAGUGAAAAUGCUUUAUGCAGCUCCGUCUGAGUUUAUGACGUUUCACAUUCUUACAGCUUUUUUUGGUAAAAGCGUAAAUAAUUCUUUUCCUUUGACCCAAGAUGGGUUCUUGGGUAUUUGAUUUGUUUUUCUAGGUAAUAGAUGUAAUGUUUGACUGAAAAGGCUUGGACUCAGGUAACUUUCUUCAGUUGGAACUGAACUUUCUUAUCAGAGAAUGGACCGCAGAAGAAAUGUACCCAAACGUAAUUGGUUCAGUGUAGAUUUAGAAAAAUUCAGAGUCUGAAAAAAGGGGGGAGAAAAACCCCUCAAACAGGAAAAAUAAUUCCAAUAAGAAAAGUAAUGCACUUCCUUUCUGUUAAAACAUAUAUUAUCUGAUGAACAGUCUAUAGGGUAAAGCUGUCCUUGCUUCCAAAUCAACAGAGGACCAUUGUAUGAAUUGCCAGGUCUUUGCAUAAGAAGGAAACCUUUUAUAAUAAGUCUUUGUGAGUAGCGAAAGAAUUUAAAGCUGCUUUGAUGAAAUUAAGAUCAAAUCAUGUUAGAUCAUCUCUGUGUUAUAGGGAAUGUUUGCCCAGGGCCAUACGUGCUGUGCUGCUGAAAUCUUGGGAAAGAUUAUCAGAAUUUGAGAGUGAUCGAAAUAGCCAAAAGUGGAAAAUAAUUGAGCGUUCUUAAUCAUUAGUUAAAUUGGUCAGCUAGUUUGCAUUGACAUAAAACAUUUUGGCAAAAUAAUUAAUAUAGAUAAAAUAUAAUUUCCUUUAAUUGUGAGCAAUUACUCAGUGGUAAAGCAUAGUCAGAGUAGCUUAGAUAAAGGUAACUUAAAUUUUUCUCUUAGUAACUUCUCAGCCAUUUCCUGAUGUUUUCUCCCAGUAUUUUGGAAUUAUUAAAAACAGUGUAGGAAUGCUUUUAGCAAUGGAACCUGCCUAUAUGAGUCCCAUUGGUAUGUUGAAAAUAUCAACAUUUGUCUGUUAAACCCAUCUUCCCCAUUUUUUUUCUUUUUUGGCAAGAAUUGUUUGGCAGGGUGUAGAAGAGACGUGUACCAGCAGCACCAGUGAAACUGUCUCUUUCCCACUUGUUUAAAUAUGUGUGUGUGUAUCAGACUCAUCUUCUCAAGUUGCUUUACAUAUUUUCAUUUCACAACUUAAGAGACCACUGCUUAAUGCUUUCUUUCAAAUUGUUUCUGCAUCUUCCAUGAUUUUCAUCAGAUGGCAUUUAACAAAAUGGAUAUAUUCCAGUUGUACUUGCCCAGUGUUUAGUUAUUGCAUCUACAUUAUUUUCCCUGAUGUAUUUUGUUCCACUUCAUGACGGCAAAAGCUGUAAUUUUAGGCAGGACUGUGCCUCAGUCUGUAGCUGUGCCUACUUCCUUUACUUUGCUCAUCCAUGUUAGCUGGCAUUUUUUUCUUUUAAAAAGUUGAACAAAAACGGGAUAUGUGCAAUAGAAAUAUAUAUAUGUAUAUUUUUUUUCUAAAUACUUGUGGACAAAUGUUACAAGUUGUUUAAGAACAACAAAAUCACCAAUGUCUUCCAUUCUGAGAUGUGUAUAGUUUUGUAAGCAUUAGUGCUUGGUAGCAUAUGUAGUGCCAUGUUAGGGGUUAGUGCAUGAGCCUAGUGAUCCUUUAAACUUCAGGAUGAAUUACAGAAAAUAAUAGUGUAAAAAGAUUGGGAAACCUAGACCUUUUGUUUUUUCAUAAAUAUCUGAAUCUGUGAUAUUCUCCCUGGGGAAAAGAGAUUAAAGCCGAAAGUAUUCAUUUAGGAAUAGAAAUGUGGGGUUACAACAUGAGAUACUGUCUUUAAGGAUAUUUAAGCUUUCCAUUAGGUAGCUGGAAAGCAGUUGCCUUUGUGUCUUUAUGAAACCUUACAUCAAAAUGAGGCCCUAUUUCAUGAUUUGGCUUUGCUCUCAAGUUUGAAGUGAGAUUGUUCUUACACUGUUUUCACAUUGUAUGUCUGGUAGGUUUAUUGUUUUCCCACUCCUUUUGCAUCAGGUUAUUUUAUAUUUUGCAUGUUACUAAGAUUCUGUUUAUUGCUUAAGUGACUGUUUUUCUAAUCUGCAGGCCAUUUAUGCUUCCAUCUGCAGUAUGCUACAUGUUAGCAAACAACACUGAUCGUAGUUCAGUGUCCUAGAUGAAUUUCUCAUGGGUUUUUCCUGUUUCCAAAUCUGCUGAAUUGUUUAUUGAUGGGAUUCCAGACCUUUUCAUGAGAAUUGGAAAUGUAGCUAAAUGGAGCCUUAUCUAGGCUGCCAUGUAUUAACUCUCUGCUUGGUUAUAGUAAUUGCCUCAGGCUGCUUUCACUUUUUUCUGCUUUCCUCGUAGAAAUAAAAGUUUGUUUUGUUCUGAAAGCAUAGCUUUCUGUAGAAAAGAAAUUCCUACCUCUAAAAGCUUUCUUGAGAACUUGGAAAUGGCAGUUUUCUGGGGUGAUUUUUAGAUCUCAGGAGAGUUCAGGAUAGACACAGAUUCUACAGUUAGUAUGAUAUGAAAUGCAAAACAUUUUUAAUGUGGUGUGACACGUGCAGAAGCAGGCUUAAACAAAUCGACUCUUGGGCAACAGAUCUCUAGGGACCCAGGUUUAGAUUCUUAGAUUGUACUUAAAGUGGUUGUACUCUUGUUUCAAGUAGUUUAGUGCCUAGGAGAAUCCACUUCUGAAAAGCAUUUAAACAUUUUUAAAAAUACCUCUGAAAAGGUAAUGAAUGCAAAAUCGCAGAAUAUAUAGGAAAGAAUAUUUCCUAUUGCAAAAAAAAAGCCAUAAAACAAGCUGAUAAUUUUCAAGAGGUAGAAUUUCAGUAGCAAUAACAGUUUUGCAUGUAUAAUAAGUUGCAUUAGCAAGGUUGUACAAUAGACUACUACUUGAGUUUGAGACUUCGAUCAACAGAAUUCCAUGAAAGGAAAAAGAUGUUCUAGAUAGAAUGUAUAAAUGUAGUUUAAAAAAAAAAAAAACUAUGAAUGUGCAUGAAUAUAUCAUUAUGUGAGAAAUAGCAACUUUUGUAAGUCAAAGUUUAAAUACUUUACUUGGUUGCUAGAGCAGAGGGUUAAAGCCUCAUUAAAUUAACCUUACCUGAUGCUUAACCUGCUUUGUCACCUCAUCUUUCUCCAUUAGUUUCCUGGGUACAUUUUUUUAAAGAGAGAAAAGUUUGUUGUGUAUAUAUAUUUAUGGCUUAAAAAACAAACCAAGAGCUUGGAUAACUGGCUUUUCUUCAUGCCUAUUAGUGCAGGGGAGUUAGGAUUUAAAGGUGUUAAGCAAAAGGAUUGAAAGGAAUGGCCAAAGACAGUACAUCAUCUAAUGUAGAUGUGCCAAGGCCUGUGGUCUGUUGACACCUUAUUUUAACAGGAACCCAGCAAACUAGUUUCUUGAUCUGAAGAAUAACACAGCUCUCACAUCUGGAUGUAAGGGUGUAACAAAGGCGACUACUUUUACCUCAUGUUCACCUUGGCCAUUUAGUACCUUGAAGAUUCCCAAAAAGAGUGUGUUCCCUUGUUUCCCAGGGGAAGAAGCUGAAAGGUAAAUAGAGUGGAUCUAAGAAAAUAGUGCCUCUUGAAUACUAAAUUCUUAAAUGGCAACUCCAAAGGAUAGAGAAAAGGCUAUCUUAAAUGAUUAUAGCUCCUCUUUAUAUGUCCUAUGCCUUCAGUUGGUGUUAGAGGCAUUGGAAUAACCAAGCAAUAUUUAGACAUCUGCACGAUCAUGAGGACACCACUGGAUAUUACAGUGAUGUCAACAGUUUAGUUAAUUAGAACAAUUAAAAUAUUACCCUCAACAGCCACAUUAAUAGUUGUAAAUGCUCAAAUGUGCUCUUAAGUUUUUGUGGUCUCAAAGUAUGGUUGAUUAUUUUUCAAUAUUGUGAUUCCAUGUUUACUCUUUGUGUACCUGUGAUAUGCAAAAUAUGAAGAGACCCUUGGCCUCUAGGAGUUUACAUUCUCAUGGUGCUGCUGGUACAAGCAAAUUGCUUCUAGUUUAUUCAGAACAUUGCUUGGCUGUUAAUUAUACCAUGUUUGGAAGGAUUCCUUGGCCAACAGUUUUCAAAAGCAGAGGGCUAUGCUAAACUUCAGGGCAUUGAUUUUUGAGUUUACAUUGUAUUAGCUCUGCUGUUCAUAAACUCCUUUCCCCAGGGAGCUGUGCAGGUAUGCUCAUUAAUGUGAAUGAGAAACCAUCCUGCCUGAGAGCAUUUUCAUCGUCUGUACCACCUAUGCUCUUCCAUGCCAUCACUGUCAGUAAAUGGCCAAGAAAAUUUAACUGCUCCAGAGGACAUCUGUCAGUACUCUUUUCCCAAAUUUUUACAUUAUUCUCUACCCGAAAGGACCAGAAUUUGCAAUUAAGCCUUUUAUAACUGAAUAGUGGUCCUAAUUUUAACCUUUUUGUCUGUGACUUUUGUAACUCUAUUCUGAAGCAGCAUUGUGAUAGAUGUGGAGCAGCUGCCUGCAUUUCUAAGCAAUCACUUUAUUAACCUAUAUUUUCAGUUGAAACUGCAUGUAUCCUUGUAAUUUUCCCUAAUUCCUCUUAGUCAAAGAGUUUACUCUGCAUGUUUAUUAAAACUGGGUCUGGAUGAAAGUGUGAGCAAUAGUGGCAGGCCCAUAACUCUUUAAGAGUAUAAUCCUAAUGCAUGGUUGAAAAUGUACAGUGUUAAUGUGGUUACUAGUAAUUAUAUGUAUCCAUUUAUUAGUAAUGAAGCAAUAGAGACUUCAACCACUAUCUUGAAUUAUUAUUUGGAUCAUUAGUUUUCAUUUUCUAAGUAAAGACUUUCUUCCAUUGAAAAUGGGAGCUAGAAGAUAAACAGGGGCAACCACAAGACAUUCAGACUGUCAGGAAUAGAGCAUAACAGUGCUCACCCUCUAACCUCUCGCCUGCUUCCAUUAGUCCCCAAGCAUGUUUAAAAACAAAAGGCACAAACUAAGCAUGUUGAAUAAACAAACAAGCUGCUGUGGUUCUAAUCAGGUGCAGAGUUUCAGAAAGGGUACGGAGCGCCAGUGUGGAAGAUGUAAUCAGGAAUGGGAUUUGUCUGAUAGAAGUUUAUGUGGCUUACGUUUGGAUCUCUUUAAGACUAGAAUCUUGAAAGUGAAUAGAAACAAUAAUGCACGUAUUUCAGAUGUUCCACGAUUUUCAGGUAACUGGGCAGCUCUUUGGAUGGUACUGCUAUUAACCAGCCAUAAGAGUUCCUUCCAGCAAAGGAGCCCUUUACAUUUUAUGGAAAUAGUCCUUAAAAUAUACACACAUCUGUGGUUUGGUUUCUCUGUCGUUACUGUUUUCAGAUUUUCAAAGAAAAGUUUUAUAGCCAGUUUUAUCCUUAAUAUUUUGGUUAGACUUCAUAAUUUGUUGCCUAAAGUUUUUUUAUGCCAGGUAACAAGGAGCAAUUUUUCCCAUUCUGUAGAAAAACCUUGUCAUUUAUUUUCUUGAUGUAGAAAAUAGAUCAGUUUAUUGUGAUAGCUUACAAUUUUUUGAGAUGAUUUCUGAUUUUGAAAUAACCCCUGUAAGAACAUGUGAUCAUGACGAAUGUACAAAUAGGAUUCAUUGUAUCUGAAAGAGGCCUAAGUAGAAGAGAGUUCAGGAUUAGACUGGUAGUCACUAGGCACCAUCCAGUUUCAUGUUCUGUGAUUGAAAAAUAUUUUUUCCAAAAUUAUUUCAACCUGAUUUUAAUCUUAGCUGUGGGAUUUGAUUCCAAAUACCUUGAUAUCCAAAUACCUGGAUAACUUUCCAGUAGUUAAAAAUUGAAUUACUAAUAGUCAUUUUACUCAGUUCAGGAAGUGAAAUGUCAUAUCCCAUAUGUAAAGUUUCUCUUUGAUACUUACCAGUAACAUGUCUGCCAAACAAACCAGUAAAGAUUGAAGGACAGAGUUUCUCUAAUCUGUUUCCAUUAUUCCACUGGGGCAUAUUAAAAUGUUAACAUUAGAAAUCCAAACAUCACAGAUUUCUCUAGGAACUCAUACUUCUAAACCUUCAAGUCAGAAUAGAUAUGUUAAGGUUAGAAUUUUCGAAAGAUUUUGUCUCCUUUGGUGAUGCUGUGCCACACCAGAGAUUAAAAUGUUUUUCUCCCAGGGAUAAGUAUUCUGGCAAUAAAUUAUCAUCAGUCCUUAAGCAACAGUAAUGUUUUGACCCUUACCUUAAAACCAUGCAUCACUGGUAAUUUUAAAAGAUUCAUAUUAGAAUAACCUUCACAUAGACUUACUUCAGUAGCUUGUUUUUACUUACUGUUCAGCAUCUUCUCCCUCCCAUGGUAUAUGAGAUAAUGUUAAAAGACUUUCAUUGACUGUUUGGAGUUUUACAAAAGGCCGCUUGCUUUCUAAUCUAUGCAUCUUUGGGACUGUAGAUGAAAUUUUAUUCUUUGCUGUAAGAAGGAACUGCUGUGAGAGUUAAAAGCUCUGCACCUGUGUACAUAUAUAUUUUGGCAAUAAAGCAGCAUGGGCUGAGAAUGCA